rnacentral:rRNA from 1 species
UACGGAGGGUGCAAGCGUUGUCCGGAUUUAUUGGGUUUAAAGGGUGCGUAGGCGGCCCGUUAAGUCAGUGGUGAGAUCCCAGGGCUCAACCCUGGAACUGCCAUUGAUACUGACGGGCUUGAGUUCGGUUAAGGCGGGCGGAACUGGUGGUGUAGCGGUGAAAUGCAUAGAUACCACCAAGAACCCCGAUUGCGUAGGCAGCUCGCUGAGCCGAAACUGACGCUGAGGCACGAAAGCGUGGGGAGCGAACAGG